GAGGAGGGAAAGGGGAAUUCCUUAGGGUAGCGGGGAAAAUGCGUAGAUAUUAGGAGGAAAUAUCAGUGGCGAAAGGGCGACUUUCUGGACUUAUACUGACGCUGAGGUACGAAAGCGUGGGUAGCGAACAGGAUUAGAUACCCUGGUAGUCCACGCCGUAAACGAUGAGUGCUAAGUGUUAGGGGGUUUCCGCCCCCCAGUGCUGGAGUUAACGCAUUAAGCACUCCGCCUGGGGAGUACGGCCGCAAGGCUGAAACUCAAAGGAAUUGACGGGGACCCGUACAAGCGGUGGAGCAUGUGGUUUAAUUCGAAGCAACGCGAAGAACCUUACCAGCUCUUGACAUCUUCUGUUCACCCUAGAGAUAGGGCUUCCCCUUCGGGGGCAGAAUGACAGGUGGUGCAUGGUUGUCGUCAGCUCGUGUCGUGAGAUGUUGGGUUAAGUCCCAUAACGAGCGCAACCCUUAUUGUUAGUUGCCAGCAUUUAGUUGGGCACUCUAGCGAGACUGCCGGUGAUAAACCGGAGGAAGGUGGGGAUGACGUCAAAUCAUCAUGCCCCUUAUGAGCUGGGCUACACACGUGCUACAAUGGACGGUACAACGGGUAGCGAGGGCGCGAGCCUUAGCAAAUCCUAAUAAGCCGUUCUCAGUUCGGAUUGUUCUCUGCAACUCGAGAGCAUGAAGCCGGAAUCGCUAGUAAUCGCGGAUCAGAAUGCCGCGGUGAAUACGUUCCCGGGUCUUGCACUCACCGCCCGUCA
rnacentral:rRNA from 1 species